rnacentral:rRNA from 1 species
UACGAAGGGUGCUAGCGUUGUUCGGAAUUACUGGGCGUAAAGCGCGCGUAGGCGGCCAUUCAAGUCAGAGGUGAAAGCCCGGAGCUUAACUCCGGAACUGCCUUUGAAACUAUAUGGCUUGAGUGUCGGAGGGGAUAGCGGAAUUGCUAAUGUAGAGGUGAAAUUCGUAGAUAUUAGCAGGAACACCGGUGGCGAAAGGCGGCUAUCUGGACGACAACUGACGCUGAGGCGCGAAAGCGUGGGGAUCAAACAGG